UUUUUGUAAAUAAUUUAAAGUCUUAUCUGCCCACUGAUAAAUAUAUUAAAGGGCUGCAGUAUUUUGACUGUACAAAGGUAGCAUAAUCAUUAGUCUCUUAAUUGGUGACUUGUAUGAAAGAUUGGAUGAAAUAUAAACUGUCUCUAAUUAAUUUAUAAAAUUUAAUUUUUUAGUAAAAAAGCUAAAAUAAUUUUAAAAGACGAGAAGACCCUAUAGAGUUUUAUAAUUUAUUUGAUUAUUAUUAAUAUGUAAAUUUUAAAAUUAAAAUUAAAUAAAUUAUUUUGUUGGGGUGACAGAAAAAUUAAAUUAACUUUUUUAAAUAAUUAACAUUAAUUUAUGAAUAAAUGAUCCAUUAAUAUUGAUUAAAAGAAAAAAUUACCUUAGGGAUAACAGCGUAAUUUUUUUUUUUAGUUCAAAUAGGAAAAAAAGUUUGCGACCUCGAUGUUGGAUUAAGAUAAAAUUUAAAUG
rnacentral:rRNA from 1 species